AUUUGUCUGGUUAAUUCCGAUAACGAACGAGACCUUAACCUGCUAACUAGAUUCAUUAGUAUUACUAUUGCAAUCUUCUUAGAGGGACUAUGUAAAACAAAUACAUGGAAGUUUGAGGCAAUAACAGGUCAGUGAUGCCCUUAUAUGUCCUGGGCUGCACGCGUGCUACACUGAUGCAUACAACAAGUGCCUAACCAGACAUGGUAUGGCAAUCUCGAAUAUGCAUCGUGAUGGGGAUAGAUCUUUGCAAUUAUAGAUCUUGAACGAGGAAUUCCUAGUAAGUGCAAGUCAUCAUCUUGCAUUGAUUAUGUCCCUGCCCUUUGUACACACCGCCCGUCGCUCCUACCGAUACCGGGUGAUCCGGUGAACCUUUUGGACUCUUUACUGGGAAAGAUAAGUAAACCAUAUCACCUAGAGGAAGGAGAAGUCGUAACAAGGUUUCCGUAGGUGAACCUGCRGAAGGAUCA
rnacentral:rRNA from 1 species